UACCUCUCAUUCUCUUUUUCUCUUCCUCUCUGGUUCUCUUCUUAUCUUCCUCAUUCUCUAUGAUUCGGGGGAUUUUUUUUUCCGAUCAUAGUAAGUCACAAGUAAUAAGUCGCUUGUGAAUCAGUAUUAGGUUUUGCUUCCUCUUCUUCUUCAAACAGAUCCAUCACGGAUGAAAUUUUUUUCCGACAUAGUAAGUCACAAGUAAUAAGGCAACUAGAAUCACCUGUGACAAAAGAUCUAUUUCUUGCAUCAGUGAACCUAAGCGAAUGAAGAUGUAGUGAUGUGGGAUCUUGGACUAAGUUCAGAGCUGGAUUCGACAUGUAAUUCUGCACUAGUGAAACUCAUAGGAUGAUUGUAAGGAAAAAAUUUAAAGAUUUUAAUAAGCCAAUAAUGCUUCCUAAAGAUUUUAGAACAGUUAUUGAUGUUCGGCAAUCACCUGUGAGCAUCGAUCUAUUUCUUGCAUAUUGAAUCUAAGGUGUAGUGAUGUGGGAUUCUGGACUAAGUUCAGAGCUGAAGUCAUCAUGUAAUUCUCACUAAUGAAACGCGUAGGUGAGUAUAGAUUCUAUUGGAUAUGUUCGUAGAGAUUAUUUUCUCACUUUUGAACUCAUGUUCUAUAGUUGUGUUGAUUUUAGAAUGACUGUAAAGAAAAAAUUUAAUGAUUUUCUUGAGCGGUUUUGCUGAGGCGGCAUCAAGUGAUGUUAAUAAGACAAAAUUGCUGCCUAAAGAUUUCAGAACAAUUAUUGAUGUUGCUGGUUUUCUUUCAGCUGGACAGGAAAAAUUUCUUGCUUAAGCAAGGUCAAUCUUUGUCCAAUCAUGAGAGCAAGGAGAAAGUUGUUGUUGAACAACCAUGCUUCGUUUCAGCAUUUGUUUUGAUUGCUGAAAUAAAAUAGGAAAUUUAUGUUCAUAAUUCGAGAUUAUCAUAGGUUAGUUUCAUAUGUAGCUUAUGGGGGUAAAGCUACAAGAGUUUAUCUUCAGCUGGGUGGUUGUCAUUUGUAGGUUAGUUAUUUUACUAGAUUGAGCUAACUGCAUAUUCUUGGUGGCCUAAUGAUGAUUACGUCUUGGAUGUAGUUGGAUAGCAAGCAUGAAGAUGCUUUAGCUUAUGAAUUUGGGGAGUUUUUGAUAGGAAGAGAUGGACGUACAAGUAAAUCAAGUUGGUAAGAAAGUUCAGCGAGGGGACUAUGAAUACUACUUAAUUGCCCCGAAUAUAAGUUGAGUUUUCUAUGUCUUGGGAUGUACAAGUACGCAUCACUCUUUGAAAUUUUAUCUAGAUGUUUUAUGUCUACUAAUCUUCUUUGAUGAGAUGUGUUCAGGAAUACCGGGACUGCCAGCCCUGCUGGUAAUGGAAGCCCCAAUAACUAUACAGAUUAACAUGUAAAGUUCGUUACAGAUAUUAUUAGUUAAUUAAUAAUCACGAUUCAUGAACUAGGUCUUUUAAAAUGCAUUCUAAGUUAUAGUUUGUCUGACCUUCUUUGUUCAUAUUACGAUUUGAUUUUGUUGGUGACUACUUGUGUGAUACAUCUACUUUCUGUUUGAGGAUGUGCUCUUUGUGUUAGAUUUCAUACCUCAUCACUAACAUUGAAGCAGCAGGGGUGGUGGUGGUGCUUGAUGUUGUUCUUUUCGUGGAGUGUUGUAUAAUUUGCUUUUUUAAUAAAAGGUUUUGUUGCAUCUCAUUGUUCACAUGCAUACGAGUGGGAGAUGAUGAAGUCGUGGUCGCAGUUAAAGGCGACGACUCUCUUCACAAGAGCUGCUGGUAUGCUUUAACAGUUAUGUGUUGCUUUUCAUUUUUCUGCUCUAACUUCUUAUAUCUGGAUUUGCUUCUUAUAUUGAUUAACAUCUUUAAUCAAUAUAAGGAAUUAGUGGAGAUGUGCUUUUCACCGUGUAAAAUAAAUUUCAUGGAUUUCAUGGAUUUUAACCAAUAUAAGGAAUUAAAGGCGACGACUCUCUUUAAUGGAUUUUAAUCAAUAUAAGGAAUUAAAGGCGACGACUCUCUUCACAAGAGCUGCUGGUAUGCUUUAACAAUUAUGUCUCGUAAUUUCAUGGAUUUUAACCGUGUAAAAUAAAUUUGCUUUUCCUGACUUAUUGCGAAGUUUGAGUAUUUACAAGGAAUUAGUGGAGAUGUGUGGUGCCUUGACGGUAUUACAAGAAGCUAAAAUGGGUAAUGUUUCAUAUAUUUAUUUACCCAUGAAUGAUGAAUUACUUGUACCAUCUAUUGUGAAGGCGCCUAAGCUAGAAUUGAAGCCGCUCCCAGACCAUUUGAAGUAUGCUUUCUUGGGAGAUGGAGAUGAGCUUCCGGUGAUUAUUGCAAAGAACCUUACACCGGUACAAGAAGACCGUUUGCUUAGAGGCUUGAAAGAGCACAAAACGGCCAUUGGUUGGACAAUUUCGGAUAUCAAAGGGAUUGGUCCAUCCAUGUGCAUGCAUAGAAUUCUAAGGGAAUAUAAUGUGAAGCCGGUACGUGAUGCUCAAUGAAGGCUUAAUCCUCUUAUGAUGGAGGUUGUUAAGAAAGAGAUACUCAAAUUCCUAAGUGUGGGGGUAGGUAAUCUACCCAAUUUCCGAUAGCAAGUGGGUUAUUCUGGUACAAGUGGUACCAAAGAAGUCUGGUGUUACGGUUGUUAGAAAUCAAGACGAUGAACUUGUUCCUACAAGAGUUCAAACCGGUUGGAGAGUGUGCAUUGAUUAUAGAAAUUAAUUCCGCAACCCGAAAGGAUCACUUUCCUUUACCUUUCAUUGAUCAAAUGUUUGAGCAGUUAGCGGGGUAUUCUCAUUAUUGUUUCUUGGACGGUUAUUCGGGAUACAAUCAAAUUUGUAUUGCACCGGAGGACCAAGAGAAGACCACUUUCACUUGUCUAUUUGGAACGUUUGCAUAUAGACGGAUGCCGUUUGAGCUUUGCAAUGCGUCGGCUACUUUCCAAAGAUGCAUGGUAAGUAUAUUCUCGGAUUAUGUGGAGCGCAUCAUUGAGGUAUUUAUGGACGAUUUUCAGUGUUUAUGGCAAUUCUUUUGAUAGUUGUUUAGACAACCUUGAGCUAGUUCUUAAACGAUGCAUAGACACAAGCCUUGUCCUUAAUUGGGAGAAAUGUCACUUUAUGGUAAACCAUGGAAUAGUACUUGGUCAUAUUGUGUCCUCUCAAGGGAUCUAAGUGGAAAAGUUAAAGAUAGAUUUAAUAAAAAACCUACAAUAUGCCACUUCAGUGAGGGAGAUCCGUUCAUUUCUUGGUCAUGCAGGUUUCUAUAGGCGGUUUAUGAAGGAUUUCUCUAAAAUCUCCAUGUCGAUGUGCAAGUUAUUACAAAAGGAGGUGCCUUUUGACUUCAACAAGGAAUGAAAGGAUGCCUUUGACAAAUUGAAGGAAAUGUUGACAAGUGCACCAAUUAUUAAGUCAUCGGAUUAGAAUCUUCCAUUUGAAUUAAUGUGUGAUGCUAGUGAUUAUGCGGUUGGAGCCGUUUUGGGUCAAAGAGUGGAAAAGUUGUCCCAUGUUAUAUAUUAUGCAUUUAAGACCCUCAAUGAUGCCCAAAUCAACUAUUCCACCACGGAGAAGGAGUUAUUGGAUAUAGUUUUUGCACUGGAAAAAUUUCGAUCAUAAUUGGUGGGCACAAAGGUUAUUGUGUAUUCCGAUCAUGCUGCACUUAGACACUUAAAAAAGAAGAAAGAAGCUAAGCCAAGAUUAAUCCGGUGGAUCCUAUUACUACAAGAGUUCGACAUAGAAAUUCGAGACAAGAAAGGUGUGGAGAAUACCGUUGCGGAUCAUCUUAGUAGACUUGUUAUGUCUCAAGAAAAACUUCCAUUACAAGACCGCUUUCCGGACGAACAACUUUUCUCCUUGGAAGAAUCAACACUUUGGUAUGUGAAUAUAGUGAAUUACUUGGUGACAAGGAAGGUACCUAAUACAAUGUGCAACUUCCAAAAGAUGAAACUUAAGAAUAUAUCCAAGCAAUAUGUGUGGGAUGAACCAUAUUUAGGAAAAUAUGGCGUUGAUCAAAUAAUACGGAGUUGCGUACCUAACUCCGAAUUCCAAUUAUUCUAUCCUUUUGUCACACUCUUGCUUGUGGUGGCUAUUUUGGUGCUAAAUGUACCGCUCUCAAAGUUCUCGAGAGUGGAUUUUAUUGGCCCACCUUGUUUGAAGAUUCAUAUGCUUUGUGUAAAUCUUGUGAUAGAUGUCAAAGAACAGGUAAUAUAGGUGCUCGAAAUCAAAUGGCACUCACAUCAACUCUCGCCUUUGAGAUUUUUGAUGUGUGGGGAAUCGUUUUUAUGGGCCCUUUCGUCAAUUUAAAUGGAAAUUUUUAUAUA